AACGUAGGGACCAAGCGUUGUUCGGAUUUACUGGGCGUAAAGGGCGCGUAGGCGGCGCGGUAAGUCACUUGUGAAAUCUCUGAGCUUAACUCAGAACGGCCAAGUGAUACUGCAGUGCUAGAGUGUGGAAGGGGCAAUCGGAAUUCUUGGUGUAGCGGUGAAAUGCGUAGAUAUCAAGAGGAACACCUGAGGUGAAGACGGGUUGCUGGGCCAACACUGACGCUGAGGCGCGAAAGCCAGGGGAGCAAACGGG
rnacentral:rRNA from 1 species